rnacentral:rRNA from 1 species
UACUUCUGACUAUUGCGAUGGGGGGACGGAGAAGGCUAGGUGGGCCAGGCGACGGUUGUCCUGGUUCAAGUGCGUAGGCUUGAGAGUUAGGUAAAUCCGGCUCUCUCUAAGGCUGAGACACGACGUCGAGCUACUACGGUAGUGAAGUCAUUGAUGCCAUGCUUCCAGGAAAAGCCUCUAAGCUUCAGAUAGUCAGGAAUCGUACCCCAAACCGACACAGGUGGUCGGGUAGAGAAUACCAAGGCGCUUGAGAGAACUCGGGUGAAGGAACUAGGCAAAAUGGUACCGUAACUUCGGGAGAAGGUACGCUCUUGAUGGUGAAGUCCCUCGCGGAUGGAGCUGACGAGAGUCGCAGAUACCAGGUGGCUGCAACUGUUUAUUAAAAACACAGCACUGUGCAAAAUCGCAAGAUGACGUAUACGGUGUGACGCCUGCCCGGUGCCGGAAGGUUAAUUGAUGGGGUUAGCGCAAGCGAAGCUCUUGAUCGAAGCCCCGGUAAACGGCGGCCGUAACUAUAACGGUCCUAAGGUAGCGAAAUUCCUUGUCGGGUAAGUUCCGACCUGCACGAAUGGCGUAAUGAUGGCCACGCUGUCUCCACCCGAGACUCAGUGAAAUUGAAAUCGCUGUGAAGAUGCAGUGUACCCGCGGCUAGACGGAAAGACCCCGUGAACCUUUACUACAGCUUGGCACUGAACAUUGAACCUACAUGUGUAGGAUAGGUGGGAGGCUAUGAAGACGUGACGCCAGUUGCGUUGGAGCCGUCCUUGAAAUACCACCCUUGUAUGUUUGAUGUUCUAACUUAGACCCAUUAUCUGGGUUGAGGACAGUGCCUGGUGGGUAGUUUGACUGGGGCGGUCUCCUCCCAAAGAGUAACGGAGGAGCACGAAGGUGGGCUAAUCACGGUUGGACAUCGUGAGGUUAGUGCAAUGGCAUAAGCCCGCUUAACUGCGAGAAUGACGGUUCGAGCAGGUGCGAAAGCAGGUCAUAGUGAUCCGGUGGUUCUGUAUGGAAGGGCCAUCGCUCAACGGAUAAAAGGUACUCCGGGGAUAACAGGCUGAUACCGCCCAAGAGUUCAUAUCGACGGCGGUGUUUGGCACCUCGAUGUCGGCUCAUCACAUCCUGGGGCUGAAGUCGGUCCCAAGGGUAUGGCUGUUCGCCAUUUAAAGUGGUACGCGAGCUGGGUUUAGAACGUCGUGAGACAGUUCGGUCCCUAUCUGCCGUGGGCGUUGGAAGAUUGAAGGGGGCUGCUCCUAGUACGAGAGGACCGGAGUGGACGAACCUCUGGUGUUCGGGUUGUGUCGCCAGACGCAUUGCCCGGUAGCUAAGUUCGGAAUUGAUAAGCGCUGAAAGCAUCUAAGCGCGAAGCGAGCCCUGAGAUGAGUCUUCCCUGACAGUUUAACUGUCCUAAAGGGUUGUUCGAGACUAGAACGUUGAUAGGCAGGGUGUGUAAGCGUUGUGAGGCGUUGAGCUAACCUGUACUAAUUGCCCGUGAGGCUUAACCAUACAACACCCAAGGGGUUUUGUA